UAGCGUAGGGGCGAGCGUUAUCCGGAUUUACUGGGCGUAAAGCGCGUUAAGGCGGUUGGCAAAGUUGGUUGUGAAAUCUCAGGGCUCAACCCUGAAAUUGCGACCAAUACUGGUCGACUAGAGUGCAAGAGAGGAAGGUGGAAUUCCCGGUGUAGUAGUGAAAUGCGUAGAUAUCGGGAGGAACACCUGUGGCGAAAGCGGCGCACUGGACCACAACUGACGCUGAGGCGCGAAAGCUAGGGAGCAAACAGG
rnacentral:rRNA from 1 species